rnacentral:rRNA from 1 species
UUCUACGGGCGUACCACCCUGAACGCGCCCGGUCUCGUCUGAUGUGGGAAGCUAAGCAGGGUCGGGCCUAGUUAGUACUUGAAUGGGAGACCGCCUGGGAAUAGCGGGUGCUGUAGGCU